GUCUACGGCCAUACCACCCUGAACGCGCCCGAUCUUGUCUGAUCUCGGAACUAAGCAGGGUCGGGCCUGGUUAGUACUUGGAUGGGAAGACAUUACAGGAUGACGGCUACUAGGCU
rnacentral:rRNA from 1 species